rnacentral:lncRNA from 1 species
AAAAAUCAUUAAAGUUCUACAAAAGAUAAAAACUACAAUUCCUGUUUUAUUGAUUGUCGAGUCUCACCAAAAAACCUGAAAAAGAAAGAUGAUCUUGUAUAAGAUAACUACUAAAAAAUAUAACAAUAAUGUAUGAUGUCAAAAUCAUGAUUGAAGAAACUUAAAUCAUUGAAGUUAAAUGUAUAGACUCUUAAUUUACAUACUUAAAAAAUGGUGAUCAAAUUAAAAGAAAUUAAAGUGAAAUGAUCAACGUGAGAUAAACUUGUAAGUUGGGUCAUCUUCAAGUAAAAUUUCCCUCUCUCGAAGCUGUUAAACGUCGAACACUGAGUACAAGGAUUGUGAAUAUUCUCUUCUUUUUUCAGUGUCCUUCCAAGAUUGAUAACAGAGUUCAAAUUGUUCAAUACAUCACAGUAUAAUUGUUGACACACAAAAAGUUUAGCCCAAAUCGAAUAGUCCAAGGAAUGAAGUCCAAUUGGAGGAUCCCCAAAUCAAAUGGCCCAAAAAACGGCCCAAUCAGACAAUUCAGGAUAAAAGCCCAAAUAGGGAAGCCCAUGAACACGGUAAUACCAUCGUCCAACUUUGCAAGUCGCCCAAAAUUUGAGCGAAUGGAUUGUCAUGCAGUCGCCCAGAGCUGUGACUCUGUUCUCGCUCAAACUUUCAAGUCGCCCAGGAUCUUAGCAAACAUAAGAUGUUAUGGUUACCCAAAAGUGCGGUUAAUGAAGCAGUUAUUGAGUAGCCCUAUCACGUUCCACAAUCCAAGGAAUUCAAUUGAAGACGGUUGAACGACCAAAAGUAAUGACAGCAGUUAGAGAAGGCAGUUCCAUGACAAGUUGGCCACCAUGAAGAAAGUGGGCAGUUAUAGAGCGAUCAAGCAGUUUUUAAGCGGUUGAUCACGAAGAGAUCAUUCAGGGAGUAUAAAAGGAAGAAAAGACAUAGAGCAGAGGACCCUGAAUCAAAUACUCUCAAACAAAGAAUAUGUAACUUUCAAUUUCUUAAUUUAGAUUUAAACACUUCUUUUCAGUAACUCGUGUGCUUGCGCCCCUUGGAGGCAUUCUGUUUUAUUUUCCAAUUGUAAAGUCAUC